GUUUCAAGCUGGGGAUUAAAUGCUUCAAAAGAGGAAGACUUUACAAGAGCAGAGGGACUCUCAAGGAAUAAAGAUCCAAUUAGCAUCGCUGUGCAUCAUGAAUGCAAGUAACACAUCUGUUCUAGUCACUGCUGCAUUUUAGCACUUAGGAAAAAGCCUGCUAGACACACAUAGAUAUAAUAAAUUCACAAAGAAACUAAGGAUAUAUAGCCAUUUGGGGGGAUUCUGAAGAAGAAUCACUGCUUUGAAUAGAAGAUUAAAUGGCUUCUAAAUUCAUAUCAAGAAAACUGCCAUGGACACAGGGGUGGCCGAGUGGCCAGCUGUGCCCUGAAAUGCCUGAAGCCAUUGCAAUCAGUGCUCCACUGUCUGAGGCUUCCAAAAUGAAACACUUUGAACACUCAUUCAAAGCCCAGUGACAGACAUUGCCUUCUAUUCAGAAAAGAAACUAAUAAAGAUUCUUAAAAUGCAAGCAAGCCUGCCAAAAUACAGACAUUAUUUUACCGAACUAAAAUACUAGAAGAUGCAAGUGAAGAAUAUAUCCAUCAGCUACUGAAUGCAUUGAUGAGAUAAAAAAAAUUCAACAUACUCACUUGCCUCCAUUUACUCUUUUCAGUGGUUCUGUGGCCUCAAGCUGCUUACUGCAAAUUAGAUUUUGCCUUAAUAUGCUAAUGUUGAAUAAGGGAAUUGGACUCUAAAUAAUUAAGUUGUGAGAAGUACAAAACUAAAGCAAUCUAUUAAUGCA